UACGUAGGGGGCGAGCGUUGCUCGGAGUACUGGGCGUAAAGCGCACGCAGGCGGUCUGCUAAGUUUGGAGUGACAGUUGGUGGCUUAACUGCCAAAGUGCUUCGAAAACUGACAGACUUGAGGGCUUCAGAGGGACACGGAAUUCCGGGUGGAGUGGUGAAAUGCGUAGAGAUCCGGAGGAACACCAAAGGCAAAGGCAGUGUCCUGGGGAGUACCUGACGCUCAGGUGCGAAAGCCAGGGGAGCGAACGGG
rnacentral:rRNA from 1 species